GCGGCGAACGGGUGAGUAACACGUGGGUGAUCUGCCCUGCACUUCGGGAUAAGCCUGGGAAACUGGGUCUAAUACCGGAUAUGACCUCCUAUCGCAUGGUGGGUGGUGGAAAGAUUUAUCGGUGCAGGAUGGGCCCGCGGCCUAUCAGCUUGUUGGUGGGGUAAUGGCCUACCAAGGCGACGACGGGUAGCCGACCUGAGAGGGUGACCGGCCACACUGGGACUGAGACACGGCCCAGACUCCUACGGGAGGCAGCAGUGGGGAAUAUUGCACAAUGGGCGAAAGCCUGAUGCAGCGACGCCGCGUGAGGGAUGACGGCCUUCGGGUUGUAAACCUCUUUCAGCAGGGACGAAGCGCAAGUGACGGUACCUGCAGAAGAAGCACCGGCUAACUACGUGCCAGCAGCCGCGGUAAUACGUAGGGUGCAAGCGUUGUCCGGAAUUACUGGGCGUAAAGAGUUCGUAGGCGGUUUGUCGCGUCGUUUGUGAAAACCAGCAGCUCAACUGCUGGCUUGCAGGCGAUACGGGCGGACUUGAGUACUGCAGGGGAGACUGGAAUUCCUGGUGUAGCGGUGAAAUGCGCAGAUAUCAGGAGGAACACCGGUGGCGAAGGCGGGUCUCUGGGCAGUAACUGACGCUGAGGAACGAAAGCGUGGGUAGCGAACAGGAUUAGAUACCCUGGUAGUCCACGCCGUAAACGGUGGGCGCUAGGUGUGGGUUCCUUCCACGGAAUCCGUGCCGUAGCUAACGCAUUAAGCG
rnacentral:rRNA from 1 species